rnacentral:lncRNA from 1 species
CUCUCAGUAUACGCUCUAAGGUUCUGAAUCGCAGAAUCCUGUUAAAAUGGAAAAGACACAGUCCCACAUGGUGUUUAUAGGGGAAAAAAGGGUCCUCAGAGGGAAUACUCUGACAGGAGCAGGCAGUAGUGAUUCCGAGGCCAAGGAGGAUUUGGGAGUCUGUAAGGGAAACAGUCCAGUUAAAACCCUAAGUUCCUGAAGUGUGUGUGGAUAACUCUGAUCUAUGAAAGUUGUGUAAAAGAAAGUAACCUUGAGCCUGAACAGCAUACAGCCUAUAACUUGAGACCGUAUACAUUUUAAUAAAAAGCAACAGCACUGUUGAAUAACCUCAUGGUUUGUUACAUUUCUGUGAGAGAGAGAGGGCCGUUGCGUCAUUGCACCCACCCUAGCUUUAAAUGGAAGCUGCCAUAUGAUGGGGUCAAUAAUUGCCUGUCAGGGACCGGGCAGAGGAGGAAUGGUGGAGACCACGUCCCCAUCCUGACCCUCCCAGGGAGGAGAAGGAGGAAGACAGUACAGUGGUACCUUGGGUUAAGAAUUUAAUUCAUUCUGGAGGUCCAUUCUUAACCUGAAACUGUUCUUAACCUGAGGUACCACUUUACCUAAUGGGGCUUCCUGCUGCUGCUGUGCCGCCAGAGCACAAUUUCUGUUCUCAUCCUGAAGCAAAGUUCUUAACCCGAGGUACUAUUUCUGGGUUAGCGGAGUCUGUAACCUGAAGCGUAUGUAACCUGAAGCGUAUGUGACCCGAGGUACCACAGUAUAGUUUUACAAGUUGUUUGUGGGAGGUCACAGCUCAGAGGCAGAUGAGGGGAAAGGUUGGGAGAUAAUGGGAGAGGAGGAGCAGGCAGAGCUGGAGCAGCAACUGGCUGACAUGUUGUCAUUAGAAAGCAUUCCAGACCCUCCAUCUCCCAGAACUUGGUGAGCCUAAAAAGUAGGAGAGCAAAGAGCUCAAAGACAGAGGGCACAUUGCCACACCUGUAGAAGGGUGGAAUGAAGAAGUGGAAGAGAUGGGGGGGUGGAGAUUCACUUGGGACAACGCCAUUAUCCAAAAGGCUGGGUUCUGUAUCCUCUCUCUACAAAGAUGAAAUAAAAAAGGACUGUAAGAAACUUUCCCUUGUCUUUAUACUUUCCUGGGCAACCAGCCGGGAGCCGUUGACAGCAUACUGACACUGCCCCAAUGGUGGCGGCAGCAAAGUAUUUGCCCCACCCUGGCUAAGGCCCUGAAUAUGGAAGCAAAGGUUCUGCAAUGGUGCAGGUUCAUAGGUGACCAAUUCAGCCCUACCUUGUAAAUGUAAAGGCCUAAGGCUCCAUGUCAGGAAGAAAAGCAAUGCCAGCCAUGAUCUUGAGAUUAAGAGUCUCAUGCAUUAUCGACUGAGCUAUCCCAGACCUCGCUUAAGUCAGGGCACUUCCAGGAGGACAAGGGCUCAUGUCAGUCAAGAUCAUGUAAUAACUAAGGUAUAUUUUCCCACCACCUGUAAAACACCUUUAGGCACGAACGAAGUGCCAUGCUGUCAACCGCAGAGCAAUAAAAGCCACUCCCAAUGAAUCUUGAGAAAUGUAUUUAAAGAUUGGUAAAUGCAUUCAUCCAACAUGAUCCAGCUUUUCCUAAUUUGGUUAAGAAGUACUUGGGUUUGUUUUUUCCUCCUCCCUCCCAAACCAUUUUCCUUUGAUCUUGUGUCUUUUAGAUUGGAAGCCUGAGGACAGUGGUCAUGUUAUUACUGAUCUUUGCAAGCUGCUCUGGGAAGCUCCUUUGGCUGAAGAGGAGAAGACUUUAACUAAUUAAAUCUUUGGGGGCUUCAACAGAAACUGUGCUCAGCUUGGCUUGGCUCAAACUUUGAGGGUAACUGCACUGACAGUUGGAAGACCUGCUGGCUCUGUCAGAAGGGAGCAUGAAGAUGAGGGUUUGUAGAUUUUUCACAUCCAAUAGAAGGAAAAUGUUGGGUUCCCCCUCAAGUUUGCUGCUUCCUUCAAGCAUGAAGGAAGGGAAUUAUUCUUCUCAUAUCCCUCAAAUCUUUUGCCAGAGUCUGAGAUUAAAAUUUCAUGUAUUGAUUUAUUUAAGAUGCUUGCAUACUGCUUUUCUUAAGCUCAGAGUGGUUUACACGAGAAUAGAACAAUAUUUAAAAUCACAUAAAAGAUUAAAAAAAGCUCAAUAAUGAUUCGGAUUUUACAAACUCUGUUAAAAAACACCCACCCUGCUAGAAUCCCAAUAUGGGCUGUGUGGAAAAAUCCAGCUGGUUGUAGAAAAAAGAGGGGGGGCAUGAUUGUCUGGCUGGAGCAUUUCACACUGCAACAUUUUGUUACAGGCUCCAGUUCUUCAUGUGUUGUUCAUAUGCUCAUUCAUGGGAAGCGGCUGGCCUCAAUGAGAUGUUGUCUGACUAGCACAACCUGGACAAAAUGUGUCCAAACUCUAAUAUUGUGUGCGGAUGUUUCACAUGAAGAAGUGGUGGUUGAUUUCAGGAUGCACACCCAAUGCCUACACCCAAACCUGCUGACAUCUGUAAUCGAUAAAGUUGUGGCCUGUUUAGAUCCCAGUACUGCUGUCCUGUGUUUUCUCACAACUAAUAUGAUGUUCAGCCUGCACCUUGCCUGCAGCUUCACCAGGUCUGGACCUGCAAGUCCAGAAUUAAUUUGAGAAAAAUCACUAAAUUAAACUGGAAUUCAAAAGGAGGGGAAGGCAGGACAGAGGUCUUCUGCAGAUGCCCUUUUUUUAUUGGGCACUUGUGAAGAUCUGUGCUCAUGAAGGUAUUGGGGCGGUUAUGCCUCAUCCCACUUUCGAUGCUGCUUACAUCUACAAAAAGGGUUAGGAUGGACAUGCAGUUCUAUUUUCCAUCUGUGUCCUGUAACAUCCUGCUGAAAUCUUUGUAGCUUUUUAAUGCCACAAACGUACCGAUUUAUUUUUUUUGUAAUAGAACAAAGCAAGACUCCCUCCGGAUCACAAUCUUAUGGAAAUGUUGGGGAAGCGUCACACUGCAACCAAAAAAGGGGAAUGAUUAUGUGGAUGGUCCUUUUCAAUCUGCUCCUAGCAUGCUAUUAAUGGGUCAAUGACAUGUAGGACAACACACCUCAUGAAACCAACCAACCAACCAACCAACCAACCAACCAACCAACCAACAAACCCAUCAGUCUGGAGGGC